GAAUUCUGCUACACCUUAAACAAAGGAUACAAAUUGCUAAGGAAAGGACAGUCUCAGCCCGCAAUAUCUAUUCUCAGAACCAGAGGAGAAACAUUGAGAUUCUUUCUCUUUAGCCACAGCACAAAACUAUGAUUGAGACUGGUUAGCCCUUGAUUCAUUGUGUAAGUUGACCCCCCUAAAACAAGAAAAAAGAUGAAGAUGAACAACCUGAACUGGACUCCUGCCAAGUCCACAAACAGAUUUUGCAAG